rnacentral:miRNA from 1 species
CAGGACUCUCAGUUACAUCUGAAUUUUAAAUAAACGACCAGUAAUUUUUUAUUAUAAGUAUGUUCCAUACAAUAUUUGGGACAUACUUAUACUAAAAAUUAUUGACCUUUUAUCUGAAAUUCAAAUUUAACUAGGUGUUCCUUU